AUAAUAAGACAAGAGGCUUUUUGAAAAUGUCUUAAAAUGUAUGUGAGAUACAUUUUAAUCCAAUGGUCUAAAUUGUCUCAUCUCAACUUCAAUGGUUGAGAUGUCUUUAUUUCCCUCUCUCUCCAUCAAUGGUUGAUGAGGAAGAGAUUUAAGCAUCAACGGCUUUAUUUCCCUCUGAUGGUCUGAAAAUAUCUCUCUCCCCCCUCUCCAUCACAGGUAUUCAUCUCCUCUCUCUCUCUCUCUCUCAUUUCAAUUUUUGAACUCUCUCUCUCUACCUUCAUCGGAGCCCAUCCCGUGCGACGCCGACGACCACCGACACCACCGACCACCUCUUCUCCUGUCACCCUCCUCUUUCGUCUCUCUCCCCUUGCAAGGUUCGCAAGGGAAGGAUAAGAGGGUUCUUUUUGAUAACAAUGACUUGGUUUUGCAUGAAGGAUUUCUAGAGAUCAAUUCAUUUGCCCACUCAUUUAGGGACUAUGAUGCAAAGAGUGAAAGACAAUAAACUGUUGAGGAAUUCUAUCGGGUGAACCACAUUAACCAAACAUAUGAUUUUGUUCACAAGGGGAGGAUAAGAGGGUUCUUUUUGAUAACAAUGACUUGGUUUUGCAUGAAGGAUUUCCAAUUCCAAAAUCUGUGCAAGAUACUGGGUUUGAUGCCCCAGAGAUCAAUUCAUUUGGCCACUAAUUUAGGGACUAUGAUGCAAAGAGUGAAAGACAACAAACUGUUGAGGAAUUCUAUCGAGUGAACCACAUUAACCAAACAUAUGAUUUUUGGCUUCAAGACCCAUCGUUCAACACCAAAACAGAGGUAUUUUACAUUGUCUCUUGAAUUUCCCUUUUUCUGCUCUUGAUCGCUAUUGUUGGUUAAUUAUGUUUUUUGAAUUCUGAAUCCUGACGGAUUUGUUGUUUGUAUUUGUUGGUUGAUAAUAUUUUGUAUUACUUCUAAGAUUUCAUGUACAGCACACAGUGCUUCCCUUUCUAUUUGACAUUUAACUUUAUAGAGAUAUGUCGAAUUUUGGAGUUAAUAAUAAUGUAUUUUGGAGUUGAGUC